UACGUAGGGACCGAGCGUUGUCCGGAAUCAUUGGGCGUAAAGAGCGUGUAGGCGGCUUGGCAAGUCUGACGUGAAAGCCCGCGGCUCAACCGCGGAUUGUCGUUGGAAACUGCCUCGCUAGAGUCCGGAAGAGGAGAGCGGAAUUCCUGGUGUAGCGGUGGAAUGCGCAGAUAUCAGGAAGAACACCCGUGGCGAAGGCGGCUCUCUGGGACGGUACUGACGCUGAGACGCGAAAGCGUGGGGAGCGAACAGG
rnacentral:rRNA from 1 species